AGAAGCAGGGGGGUCAGAUAGGAGGCAGGGGCCAGGCCACACCUAGCUGUGUGGGGUGACACAGCCACCCCUAACCCACGCUCCAUACAAUUUUGGAAACCCGAUGUGUCCCUCAGCCCAAAAAGUUCACCCACCCCUGGACUAAAUGAUCAAAUGGUCGCUUUGGGCUUUAAACUCUGUGAAAGAAUCUAUGUAAACGAAACGGCUGCAGCUUCGGAGGGGAGAAGCGGGCAGAACUGCCAGUGCUGUCCCUGGGUUGUGGAUAAACAGAGAACUUCAGCCUCGGAUCUGGCACCCUUCAACAAAGCAAACAUCCACUCCAAAGAGCUCUGGGGCUAGUGCUCUGAGUGUUUGCUUUUCUAUUUAAUCGUAAUAAAUAAUGAAGUCGCUUGCACUGUACAAACAUAACUCCAAAUAAAUCAGCACCUGUCUUAAUAGCACAGAAGCCAGGAAAGCCCCAGAGGAAGCUCACACUUUGGACCCAACUCAUCCCCUUGCAUCUGGUUGGAGCAGGUGUCUCUGUGGCAUGGGGGCGACUUACCUAUUGAAACAAAUGUGCUGCAAACACAUACUCUGCAUUUCUCUUUAACUCUACAUUUCUGGGCCCUGGUGGGUUAAACCUGGACCCCAUUUUCCAAGGCGGAUGCACCAGUUGAAAGAUGAAUAUGCCUAUAGCAGCUGCAAAAGCUGGAUAACUGCACAUCUAGUCACUGGUUUGGACUCCGAGCAGACACGGAAGUUAAUUUAAUGGGAGAGGCACCUGAUUUGCAUUUUCAAUUGCAAGUUUCCACAGCAGGUGGGGGUGUGCAUGUGGCACAUGGGUUGUUGUGGGAGUGGCAGGUUCAUGCAUAUCUUUUGCGGCCACAUCCACUGAGUCCUUGUUUGAUUCUUUUUUGUUUUCCCAAUACAGAUGUUAGUGGGUAUGCCUGGGAGGCUAGAUGGCUUAUAUCAGAGAACAUGGGUGAAAGGAAGAGAUUGAGCCUUUGAAGAAGGAUGGGAUCCUUGUUCUGUAGGAGACAACCUGUACCCCCUAUUGUCACUCAUGAGUCAGUAGACAAAAAGACCUUCUAUUACCACAUCCAACUUGCCAGGCACCAUGGCCCCAGCAAAUAAAUUAAAUGCCUAUUAGCUGUUAUAAAUGUUGUGGUUUCUUAAAUAAGCUAAUAGGAAAUGUCUGUGUUCAAUCCAGUGAACCCUCAACAAGUUUUGAGGGUUAAGAAUCUAAUUACAUUGCUGAUCAAAUUCUAAAUGAAUGUUACAUGGCAGGCAGAGGCAUUUGGGGCGAUUUAUUACACCACCAGAAAACCUUUUUAUCAAUCAAGGCUUGUUUGGCUGCUUAAACACUGACUAGGCAGAGAAGUUUUAUUCAUUUUCUAUUUAUCACCACCCUGCCCUAGUGCCUUCCUACCUAGAUCACAGCCCGGCUUCAAGUAAGUGUCUAGUGCUAUUUAUUCAUGUGCCACUGUUGGUACACAUAGAACAAAGGACCCAGGGGCCUGAUCCAGAGACGGGGAGUCUUUCCAUUGUCUUCUGUGGGUUUUGGCUUCCAUCCACAGUGAAUUUCAGACAGGCCGGAGUUUGGAUCAAUAUUGUUGAUAGCAGGGCUUUCAGGCAGGCAGCCAUUACUUGCUAAUGCAUUGUAACUUCAGUUGAAUUUUUUUCAAGCCUUUCAGUCCCUGGAGAUUCUGUUUUUCCCAGGACAGAAGGGUUAUGCCCAGUAAAAGAUACUCAUGUGAAGCCAGGAACACACCUUAGCAUCAGUCCUGACAUCCCAAGGACAUGUUGCUAAGGUAUGGUGCUGGGUUUACACCAGGGUCUAGCAUGGGAAGGGUUAAACUGCAGCUUCUUUUGGCAUGCGCCAUCUCAUGCCCAGUUUGCUAAAAGACUUAGAAGGCGGAAGUGGCUGUGUUUAAAGUGAACAGGCUGACCAAAGAGAGCUCAGUGUUUUACGGCGAACUGCAGGGCAGGAUGGCAGAGUCCAGCAACAAGGGGAGAAGAUCUUUUGCUUUAAUCUGUGUUUUCGUAACUGUGUUGUCUUCCUGUGGGAAUUAUCAUUGGAGCCAGUACUGGGGCUCUUGGAGUUAAUGCACCAACCAAAGUCACCCAGGAAAUGCCCCCUACUAGACCAAGGUCACCGGAGGGGUGGGGGGGUGGGAAUCUUUAUGGAAGGAACUCCACCAGGGAAAUCCACAACUGAAUUCCCACCACCAGUCCUCACAGAAGGGAAGCUGGGAUUGGAGCUGAUGCGAAAGCCAGAUGCUUCUCUCAGUCACUCCGGUGUAAAUCUGGAGCGACUUCAUUGACAUGUGUGGCAAUUCUUCUGGAUGCACCAGUGUGUGGUUGAGACAAGAAUCUGGCCUAACCAGCUGGCACACACAAUAGUGUGAUAUGAUCAACAGCAUUUCUCUGACCAAAGUGUCCUGAGCUAAAUAACAAUAAUAUAAUUAGUAACAUUGCACUUUGGGGAGGGGGGGGUCAGGAGGUUUAUUACAUUUCUCCCUGUCUUGAGAUUGGCUCCCUUUGUCCAGCCUGGAGAUGGGUUGAAGGUUGCUUGUUUACUGGGCACAGCUGUUUCAAAGAGAACACAAACCAGAGCUUUCCUUUUUGCCCCAACCCUAUUUGUUUAUGUCUUUGCAAUGCCUUCUGGGAAGGCCCGAACAACCUGUUGUGUGAAGAUCUUGGUAUCUACCCUAGGGUAUGAUACCUCUGGGAUGUUCAAGGCAUGUCUCACAUGAGGUAACCAUAGCAACGCAUCAUCAGCUUCUCUCUGCUUCUGUCAAUUUUGUUUUUCAUCUUGUAUUAAGGUGGAAUCUCUCUGUCUUUCUUUUUCUCUCUCGCUCUCCUCCCCUUCUGCCUGCAUGACCAAAGGCAAGAAAAACAGCCAGGGCUUGAGUUUCCAUUUCCUUACACUAGUUUUACCCUAGCAUAACUCUGCUUCUACUCCAGAUUUUCCCUGAUGUAUUUAAGUGGCAAAUCAGGCAAUUGGAGUCCUUUACCAUGAUAAUAUAAACCUGGCUGCUUUAAUUUCUCCAUCCUACCUUAAGAAGCAUUUAAGUAUGCUAGGACAUAAUUAAGGGUUUCCCUUACAUUUGUUGCUAACAGGUCACUGUCAGGGUAAAAAUCUGUUUGAUUUUUCCUUGAAAAAGUCCCUUAUCGCUAUUAGUAAUAAGCCUGUGCACUAUUCAAAUAGAAAGAGUUUUAAACAUCGAAUUUAAUUCCCACCCUUUAAGUUCUUUGUUCAAUGUUCACAUUUAAUUUAGCUUGGAUAGAGAAAACAGAUGAGUCAGUUUCACUUUGUUCCUUGUCAGUUUUUAGUCAAUUUUGCUGACAGUUCUCCAGGAAUCAGCAAAAGGCUGCAAGGUUUGGGUCUGGUGCACUGAAGGGGGAGUGUUUCUUUGUCUAAGAAAAUCUGUCUCCAUUCCAAUAACUUUUUUU